GGAGGAAUACCCAAGUCCGGCUGAAGGGAUCGGUCUUGAAAACCGACAGGCGGGUCACACCGCGCGGGGGUUCGAAUCCCUCUUCCUCCGCCA
rnacentral:tRNA from 5 species